rnacentral:rRNA from 1 species
GAUGGACGCUGGCGGCGUGCCUAAUACAUGCAAGUCGAGCGAACAGACGAGGAGCUUGCUCCUCUGACGUUAGCGGCGGACGGGUGAGUAACACGUGGAUAACCUACCUAUAAGACUGGGAUAACUUCGGGAAACCGGAGCUAAUACCGGAUAACAUGUUGAACCGCAUGGUUCAACAGUGAAAGACGGUCUUGCUGUCGCUUAUAGAUGGAUCCGCGCCGCAUUAGCUAGUUGGUAAGGUAACGGCUUACCAAGGCAACGAUGCGUAGCCGACCUGAGAGGGUGAUCGGCCACACUGGAACUGAGACACGGUCCAGACUCCUACGGGAGGCAGCAGUAGGGAAUCUUCCGCAAUGGGCGAAAGCCUGACGGAGCAACGCCGCGUGAGUGAAGAAGGUCUUCGGAUCGUAAAACUCUGUUAUUAGGGAAGAACAAAUGUGUAAGUAACUAUGCACGUCUUGACGGUACCUAAUCAGAAAGCCACGGCUAACUACGUG